rnacentral:lncRNA from 1 species
AUAGUAGGAUCUCCCAUCCUCUCAAAAGGUACUUAGGUAUGCUUAACAAAAGAUGUGGAGAAAGUCAUUUCUCAUAGAAAAUGGAGAACAUAGAUAUGAUCCCAAAAUCUACUACGAGACGAUGUUUAACAUUGACUCCAAAAAAGGGACGUGAAUUAGCUUUUCUGAUUGGAUAUUUUUUGAAGAUUUCUAUAUGGGGUAGCUUAUUUGAUAGGAGAUCACAAUGUCCGUGAUAAUUCUGGAGUUAGAAUAUUGAUAUGAUCAAAUUGUUUGAUCCAAAAUGAAGAAUUAUAUAUUUGCAAAAGGGUCAGUGGGAG